ACUAGAGGAGUAAGGAAGGGUGCUUAUUGCAAGUCACAGGACUGCAAUAAGAAACCCAGAAGAAGGGUUUUGGUGAUACUGGCAUUCAGUGAGGAGGAAGAGGAUUUGAAAACUUCUGCACUGAGAAGAGAUUCAUCCAUUCAUCUGUUGACGGUGACACUUGGAGGGCUGAGCCACUGAAGACCCACUUAGUGAGGCCAUCAACCUACAGAGGGCACCAGGAGUGGGGGAAAAAGAGGUUGCAGCAUCACACUCAGCCAACAGGAGGCACUGAUGAGAGAGACCGGACUGGAGAGAGCACCCCAGACACUAGGCCUGAAGACCCUGACUGUCGAUUGGACCCAAACAGAAGCACUGUUGCUCACCUUGAACUGUAACUGCAUAAGUCUCUGUACCUACGGUAUUUGCAACAUUUCCACUUUCCUACCAGCAGGGCCUGGUAUAGAAGUGAUGAACCUGUCACUUCCGGGACUGACCUGUCACUUUUGGGACCGACCGCACCCAGUGCCAGCCAAUCACACCGGCAGCCAAAGUGUGGGGCUCGGAGCAGUCGCCCCGAUUUGCCAUACCCAAGGGAUGGCUCUGCCUAUGAGCCCUAGUAAAAACCUUUCCCUU